rnacentral:rRNA from 1 species
GACGAACGCUGGCGGCGUGCUUAACACAUGCAAGUCGAACGGAAAGGCCCUGCUUUUGUGGGGUGCUCGAGUGGCGAACGGGUGAGUAACACGUGAGUAACCUGCCCUUGACUUUGGGAUAACUUCAGGAAACUGGGGCUAAUACCGGAUAGGAGCUCCUGCUGCAUGGUGGGGGUUGGAAGGUUUCGGCGGCUGGGGAUGGACUCGCGGCUUAUCAGCUUGUUGGUGGGGUAGUGGCUUACCAAGGCUUUGACGGGUAGCCGGCCUGAGAGGGUGACCGGCCACAUUGGGACUGAGAUACGGCCCAGACUCCUACGGGAGGCAGCAGUGGGGAAUAUUGCACAAUGGGCGGAAGCCUGAUGCAGCAACGCCGCGUGCGGGAUGACGGCCUUCGGGUUGUAAACCGCUUUCGCCUGUGACGAAGCGUGAGUGACGGUAAUGGGUAAAGAAGCACCGGCUAACUACGUG